rnacentral:rRNA from 1 species
AGUGAACGCUGGCGGUAGGCCUAACACAUGCAAGUCGAACGGCAGCACAGUAAGAGCUUGCUCUUACGGGUGGCGAGUGGCGGACGGGUGAGGAAUAUAUCGGAAUCUACUUUUUCGUGGGGGAUAACGUAGGGAAACUUACGCUAAUACCGCAUACGACCUACGGGUGAAAGCAGGGGAUCUUCGGACCUUGCGCGAUUGAAUGAGUCGAUGUCGGAUUAGCUAGUUGGCGGGGUAAAGGCCCACCAAGGCGACGAUCCGUAGCUGGUCUGAGAGGAUGAUCGGCCACACUGGAACUGAGACACGGUCCAGACUCCUACGGGAGGCAGCAGUGGGGAAUAUUGGACAAUGGGCGCAAGCCUGAUCCAGCCAUACCGCGUGGGUGAAGAAGGCCUUCGGGUUGUAAAGCCCUUUUGUUGGGAAAGAAAAGCAGCAGGUUAAUACCCCGCUGUUCUGACGGUACCCAAAGAAUAAGCACCGGCUAACUUCGUG